rnacentral:rRNA from 1 species
CCUACGGGAGGCAGCAGUAGGGAAUUUUCCGCAAUGGGCGAAAGCCUGACGGAGCAAUACCGCGUGAGGGAAGAAUGCCUACGGGUUGUAAACCUCUUUUUUCAGGGAGGAACAUAAUGACGUGUACCUGAAGAAUAAGCAUCGGCUAACUCCGUGCCAGCAGCCGCGGUAAGACGGAGGAUGCAAGUGUUAUCCGGAAUCACUGGGCGUAAAGCGUCUGUAGGUGGUUUAAUAAGUCAACUGUUAAAUCUUGAGGCUCAACCUCAAAAUCGCAGUCGAAACUAUUAGACUAGAGUAUAGUAGGGGUAAAGGGAAUUUCCAGUGGAGCGGUGAAAUGCGUAGAGAUUGGAAAGAACACCGAUGGCGAAAGCACUUUACUAGGCUAUUACUGACACUCAGAGACGAAAGCUAGGGUAGCAAAUGGGAUUAGAUACCCCAGUAGUCCUAGCUGUAAACUAUGGAUACUAGAUGUUGAACAGAUCGACCUGUGCAGUAUCAAAGCUAAAUGCGUUAAGUAUCCCGCCUGGGAAGUAUGCUCGCAAGGGUGAAACUCAAAGGAAUUGACGG